AGCGAACGCUAGCGGCAGGCUUAACACAUGCAAGUCGAGCGCCAGGUUUCGGCCUGGAGCGGCGAACGGGUGAGUAACACGUAGGUCACGUACCCUAUGGUGGGGAAUACCCCGGGGAAACUCGGAUCAAUGCCCCAUAUGUCCGAAAGGAUGAAAGCGCUUCGGCGCGCCAGAGGAUCGGCCUGCGGCCCAUUAUUUAAUCCUAGUUGGUGAGGUAACGGCUCACCAAGGGUACGAUGGGUAGCUGGUCUGAGAGGACGAUCAGCCACACUGGAACUGAGACACGGUCCAGACUCCUACGGGAGGCAGCAGUGGGGAAUAUUGGACAAUGGGCGAAAGCCUGAUCCAGCCAUGCCGCGUGAGUGAUGAAGGCCUUCGGGUUGUAAAGCUCUGUCGUGGGGGAAGAAGUUCUGACGGUACCCCACAAGAAAGCACCGGCUAACUCCGUGCCAGCCGCCGCCGUAA
rnacentral:rRNA from 1 species